rnacentral:rRNA from 1 species
UGGGUGAUCUGCCCUGCACUUUGGGAUAAGCCUGGGAAACUGGGUCUAAUACCGGAUAUACCUCAUGGACUGCAUGGUUUGUGGGGGAAAGCUUUUGCGGUGUGGGAUGGGCCCGCGGCCUAUCAGCUUGUUGGUGAGGUUACGGCUCACCAAGGCGGCGACGGGUAGCCGGCCUGAGAGGGUGACCGGCCACACUGGGACUGAGACACGGCCCAGACUCCUACGGGAGCA